rnacentral:snRNA from 1 species
UUAGCUCUCUUUGCCUUUUGGCUUAGAUCAAGUGUAGUAUCUGUUCUUUUAAGUUUAAUCGCUUAAAUUCCUCCACGGAGGUUUUUCGAUUACUCCAAUUUUUGACAACGGUUCGAGGGUCACUGGGCUUGCUCAUACCCUAGGACACAGUGUCCCCUGUAUUGCACCAUCUCAGGGCGACGCGACUCAUU